UAAUAUGUAUACCGUUUCCGAGGUUCUCGCGGUAGGAGAGCAUGAAUUUUGGAUCAGUUUAGACUUCCAGUAUAGAAUACGACACAUCCAUAUGCGAACGACAAUUGAUUACGUCAGCUUCCAUCCUUGUAAAUAAUUAAUUGCCCUUAUCUUAUGUUCGCUGUCAUCAGCCUUAGCUGAUCAUUUUCUUAAAAAUGAUAAAAUCUCUUAUUGUAUCCCAGUGUUUACCGAGCGAUAAAUCCGCUACAUCUGGGCAGGCGCUCAAUUCAAUUUUAUUACAAUUCUCGAACGACUUAUUUGAUUCAGCCGUCAAAGCGAGCUCGAUCGAAAGAGUUCGGUUACAUUAUCGGGCUCUGAAACUCACACUUGUCUUCAGACUAUGCAAGUAGCGACAAGAAAACGAAUACACUUCAAAGGAAUAGGAAGUCUAUCUAACCUGCUUGAACAAGAAUUAUAAAUAGCACAAAAGAUUUUGUGAUCAAUCCGAAGGUUGAAUUAAAUGUCGAUGCUUUCUACCAGAAAUGAUUGUGUAUAAUUGCGUAACCCUGGUCCUUCUGUCCCUAUUACCGCACAUUCAUAACAAGCUAAUUGCAGAUGGACUUCGAAGUAAGUUAGCGUCGAUCGUACUGUCAAAGACAAACACAAGUACAGCGAUAGUGUCGCUGCCGCUCCGCUUGGCGCUGUGUAAGCUGACCCAACAUGCUGAAGGAGAAGCGAAGUCAGAACUGCUCUCUGUAUUGGGUUUCCAAACAGAAGGAAAG